UCUCCCCGCUCCUGGCAGGCUGCAGCCGUCUCCUCCCGGUGCUCGCUCCUUCCUUGAGCUCUGUCCACCGCUGCCCACUGGGGGCUAGAGCUUCCCGGCUACCCUGGAAGCUGGAGGCUGGGACCAGCUCUUCAGGGUCUUCUCUGGCCCAGCCUUUGACUGAAGCUGGUCUGGAGACAGGGGCGUUAGAGAAGUGACUCAUAGAUGGCCUAAAUAAGCGGGGCCACUCAAGGACCCAGGACAGGGGGAAGAGGGCCAACCCAUCUGGACCGCAGGCAAACCCCAUGGCCUUUGAGAGAAGAGAGAAGAGGACCCGGUGAAGUAGGCUCC
ensembl:lncRNA novel transcript